AAAAUCUUUUUGGUUUUUUUUCCAGCAGUCGCGAUAACAGCGUCUGAUUGGUACAAUUCUGUAACAACGCCUCUAAUGGGUCAAGUUUAUCCACGAUGGACGGCUAGAAGUCCGCUAACAACAGCAGCAGCCUUUAACGUCUUGGAAAACGGGAUGAAAACGACCAUCAGAGCCAUUCCAUUUUGGAUUUAUCACAGUGGAUACGUUGUACAAAGUCUCCGAAAAAGACACUGAAGUUCCCGGCCGCGCCACAAGUCUUCUUAAAAGGGCCACGGACCGCACGGAAGCGCUGCCCGGAACGACGCACGCUCUAGCUUCCGGUCAAAACAAACCGUUCCGAAAACAUGAUGGCGCUGGUCAAAAUGUUCAACUCGAAGGGUUCAAAACGGCAGUUUGCAAAAAACGAUCUGUAAGGUCAUGGUGGGUUGCCCAAGGACACGUCGGCAUGUGGAUUCGUGGAGCCGGCGAUCAAAUGACCAACCCUCCGCGGUGAGGCGGGGACUCGGCAGGGAGCUGGAAAGAACCUGGCAGACAAAAAAGACCGGCAGAGCGGUGCGCUGCAGACAAGAGGGUCAGGCUGCUGUUAUGUUCCACUCCUGAGCCCCUACUCAGCGCGGGGGGGCGCUCUGAAACUCGGCCAGAGAAACACUCUCGCAAUUAGCGGCAGAGUUAAGAGAAAGGAGUUUUCUUCUCUGUCUCCGUCUCACAAACCGGCGGAGAUGCAUGUUGGGAUGACAGAUUGCUGGGGGUCAGAAAAAAGCCGGGGGUUUCGAUCAAAAUAUUUGUGCCGGCGUCGGUGGAGUUGCUCCAUGGCAACAGCAGGUUACUUUCGUGCAAGAAGUGGACAGUCAGACUUGAGCCAUUUCCCUCCCGCCGCACACGGACGUGGAGAAACUUCUGUGGAUCGACCAGCGGGUCUCAUCUUAUCCAGACCAUCAGACGCUGUGUCCUAACGCUCGGAGAGAAAAAGAGGAAAGGCAUUUCAUCAGUGCACUGUACCUGCUGACGCCCCUGAAAAGGUGAGGGGAUAUGGUUUUUGUACAGAUGACAGAUGAAUGACUGUAUUUUUGUCACCAAUAACCGAAUUUCUCUCACUGUUUGAAGAACAUGGAUUUGGGUCAUAUUACUUCCUAUUUUGCCGCAUUCAAUCGUAUUCAAUGUAGAGACCACAGAAGCACUAACAGACCUAUAAAAUCUAAAUAAAAGCACCGACAUUAGACAGGCAGAUAGAUAGAUUGACACGUUUUUUGAUACUUUUUUUAGGACUAAAAUUAGUCAGAACUCUGACUAAUAACAUUUUAGUAAAAGCCGAAAUGUAUGACAUCUGAACAUAAAGACAAAAGAAGUAAAUAUUUCUCUUCCUAAUUUCAAAUCAUAAACCUAUACCUUUUUUUUUUUUCCAGCAUAUUUGCCAUAAGCUUUUUAGUUCAGUGUACAUUUUUAUAUUCACAUCGAUUUCAGGUCAGAGGAUGGCAACAGGCAGGUGUUACUGUACAUAACUUUAUUUGAUUCACAGUAUAGGCGUGGGUUUUGAGGGAACCUGGUAAACACGGCAUUAAUGUGGUGCUGGUGACUGAUGAAGGAAGAUGCUCUGUGUUUCUGAGAAGAAAGAAAACCAGAGGGAGAGAGAUAGGAGUGGAGUGUUUAAUUAGCAAAGGAGGAUUCCCCCUGGUGUAUAGGAAUCACAGCAGUGACGGUCAAACUGACGGCGAGCGAACAAAGCCGCCAACUAAAGAAGAUGAAGAACCAAGAACUGUCGGGACUCGUGGGACGGGCUCACAUCUUACUUCAAGUAGAAACAAGCUUCAAGACAUACAUGAGCUGCGUAUUUUUCCUUUUCAACUUGAUGUGACACUUAAUGCUACAAAAAAUAUAUAUAUUGCAUUUGAUGUGAUAGUAUGGUUGCUAGGAUAGCAGCAGUGAAAAGAACAGGAUAGCUAAGAAUAACAAUGUUCCCAACCCCUACAGGAGUCCAGUGAUGUCCGCGGUGCUCCAUGGCAACAGUUGAGUAGGAAGGUGACACGAGUACAUAGCAGACAUGGAUGGAAGUGCAUUCGUUAAUCUUUGGCCACUUCACCAGCUUCCGCCCGGCGAUCUCCGCCGACAGCCGAAUAUGGGAGCAGAGAUACGUCCUCACCAACUCCAAUUAGGAAACAACGAUGGAGUUCCAAAGUAUCGUCGUCGAAGUGGCCGUGCGCGCUGGCCGAACACCGCGGCGACGAUUGGACUCGCAGUGACACACGCGAGCGUCAUGACACCCAUGACGGCGUCAGCGGGCGGUGACGAGACGUACGGUGGAUCUGACGGGGAGCUGAGACCGGCCCAGGUUCCGAGCCUGGAUGUGACGAGCGCAGUCACAAGUCCGGCAGCAGCUAAGUUCGCCGGCCGGUCCCACGUUGCCCUCCCAGUUCCAGCUUUGGCACGACUGUUUUGUUGUUUUCAGAUGUCACCACGUGAGGGUCAUUUGAAAACACUUGCACACUAACACUCGUGGAAAUGAGACCGAUCCCGUACACUUGAGCACGUGCGUACGAGUGUGAACAGGAAGUAGAUCCUUUUACUUGGUCACCGAAAAUACUGAUAACAAGAAAGGACAGUGGUGAAAAGUGAGACGAGGACGAGGAGAAACCAGCGCCUAAACUAGGUGAUGACAACGUUUUACAUUCCCCGCCGGUACUGGAGUCGUGGCCCGAUAAAGAAACCAACCGGGGAAGGAACGAGGGCGACUGCGCUAUCGUUUCCGAACGUCAGGACAGCAACGCAGCCCCGGAAGUUUUUCAAACUGAGACGGGAACCAGAAGCAGCGAUGUGUUUUUUUUAUAAACGGAAAAGUAGUAGUGUGUAACGUAGUCUCUUUGGUUCCUUGGGGCUUUUUCUGUAAAGGUAGAUGUCCGUCUGAGGGGGGGGAAAUGAACAACGAUUUAUCUAUUUCCACCUUUUUACAGUACAUGUACCAAUCUUGAGAUUGCCAGAAAUACUUUUCCAUUUAAUUUACCCCCACCCCAUCCGAAAACACAUUUGGUUCCCUCUGUCGCCUCAGCCCGAAGCUUUAAAUUGAAAGUGAUUUACAUCACAGUUGCCGGGGGGACACGUCCCCAGAGAGAGCGCGCCGUUAUCCGCCCCCGUGACAACAACGCUAUUGCUGCGCGGCUCCUCCCUUGGGCAAAAAAAUAAAAAAUAAGAGGAGAGUCAGGAAAUGGAUUUCACACACACGAGCUUAAGAUUCCAUGGAAAGUCAGUCGCCUCAGUGAUCCCAGAAUGCGGCAGCCUUUCGCCCUGUGUGAGCCCCUUCGGCGAAAAAGGGGACUCACACCGGUAAACACUGGUUUAUAGGCCUGUGAAUUAGGGGGAGUGAGGAGGGGCCCGGGGACGUGCACCUGCGGCGGCCCUGAGAGCUCAACACAAUGCAACUGCACAAAACGCAUGCAAAGUAUGACAACAUCCACAUCAAAGUGUCAACACACAUUAUGUACAUAUUGUGUAUCCUUUUAUUUUUUUUUUUUUUUGCUAAUGUAACAAUUUCCCCAGCGCGGGAACAAUAAAAUGUUUCUUAUGUUAUCUUUAAAAAAAAAAAGAGAAAGUGAUGGAUCCAGCUGUUGUGCGGUUUCCUACCGGCAGUGCGCUGAGCUCUCGGGGGGGGUCACCGCGCGACCAGCCGAGGCUUGAACUUCAAAUGUAGACAUACUGUCCAAAUCAAGAGUAAACAUCUCCCAACGUGUAGAGGGGAAAAUGGCCGUGAGGGAGAAGCUUAGAGAACAGUUGAAUGGGCUCAUAUUUGUUUGCCUCAUCUCUUUAGCUUCACAGCGAGCUCCUAGUUCUUUGUUAGCACUCACUCUCUUACGACGCUGCGACUACUAAAUGUGUGUGUGUGUGUGUGUGUGUGUGUGUGAGAGAGAGAGAGGUACCUUCCUGCGUCCAUUGUUGGUUUUAAUGUAUUUUUAAUUUCCCAUGAAGUGACUGGAGUCCUUGGUGACCAGCACUCUGUAAUUGGCUGCCUGUGUGAACAUCAGUCAGCUUAACGAGAGUGAGGGAGCUUCUACUCCUGCAUGUGCUCACACUCUCACACACACACACACACACACACACACACACACACACAAAUCUGCAAGUGAAUGCAGAUGGCUCUCGUAUUUGUGUCUUCUCCGUCUCCACCUUUCCUUCCUGUCCUCUGCAGGACGUGCACACGAAAGAAAACACCCACACACACACACGCACGCACGUGUGAACAGAGUAUGAAUACAGACGAUGCAAUUAGCUACACACUGCACGUUAGCACAGCUGUUAGCCGCGGCCUGCUCACCGCGCU